rnacentral:rRNA from 1 species
GACGAACGCUGGCGGCGUGCUUAACACAUGCAAGUCGAACGGAAAGGCCCUGCUUUUGUGGGGUGCUCGAGUGGCGAACGGGUGAGUAACACGUGAGUAACCUGCCCUUGACUUUGGGAUAACUUCAGGAAACUGGGGCUAAUACCGGAUAGGAGCUCCUGCUGCAUGGUGGGGGUUGGAAAGUUUCGGCGGUUGGGGAUGGACUCGCGGCUUAUCAGCUGGUUGGUGGGGUAGUGGCUUACCAAGGCUUUGACGGGUAGCCGGCCUGAGAGGGUGACCGGCCACAUUGGGACUGAGAUACGGUCCAGACUCCUACGGGAGGCAGCAGUGGGGAAUAUUGCACAAUGGGCGGAAGCCUGAUGCAGCAACGCCGCGUGCGGGAUGACGGCCUUCGGGUUGUAAACCGCUUUCGCCUGUGACGAAGCGUGAGUGACGGUAAUGGGUAAAGAAGCACCGGCUAACUACGUG